rnacentral:rRNA from 1 species
GAUGAACGCUGGCGGCGUGCCUAAUACAUGCAAGUCGAGCGAACAGACGAGGAGCUUGCUCCUCUGACGUUAGCGGCGGACGGGUGAGUAACACGUGGAUAACCUACCUAUAAGACUGGGAUAACUUCGGGAAACCGGAGCUAAUACCGGAUAAUAUAUUGAACCGCAUGGUUCAAUAGUGAAAGUCGGUUUUGCUGUCACUUAUAGAUGGAUCCGCGCCGCAUUAGCUAGUUGGUAAGGUAACGGCUUACCAAGGCGACGAUGCGUAGCCGACCUGAGAGAGUGAUCGGCCACACUGGAACUGAGACACGGUCCAGACUCCUACGGGAGGCAGCAGUAGGGAAUCUUCCGCAGUGGGCGAAAGCCUGACGGAGCAACGCCGCGUGAGUGAUGAAGGUCUUCGGAUCGUAAAACUCUGUUAUUAGGGAAGAACAAAUGUGUAAGUAACUAUGCACGUAUUGACGGUACCUAAUCAGAAAGCAACGGCUAACUACGUG